UAGUCCACGCCGUAAACGAUGAUUACUCGUUGUGCACAAUACAUCGUGCGUGACUGAGCGAAAGCAUUAAGUAAUCCACCUGGGGAGUACGUUCGCAAGAAUGAAACUCAAAGGAAUUGACGGGGGCCCGCACAAGCGGAGGAACAUGUGGUUUAAUUCGAUGAUACGCGAGGAACCUUACCUGGACUUAAAUGUAGGUUGACCGGUCUGGAAACGGAUCUUCUCUUCGGAGCAAUUUACAAGGUGCUGCAUGGUUGUCGUCAGCUCGUGCCGUGAGGUGUCGGGUUAAGUCCCAUAACGAGCGCAACCCCUAUCGUUAGUUGCUAGCAGGUAAUGCUGAGGACUCUAGCGAGACUGCCACCGUAAGGUGAGAGGAAGGUGGGGGAUGACGUCAAAUCAGCACGGCCCUUACGUCCAGGGCUACACACGUGUUACAAUGGCAGGUACAAAGGGCAGCUACUUCGCGAGAAGGAGCGAAUCUAUAAACCCUAUCACAGUUCGGAUCGG
rnacentral:rRNA from 1 species